rnacentral:rRNA from 1 species
UGGGGAAUUUUGCACAAUGGGGGAAACCCUGAUGCAGCGACGCCGCGUGAUUUAGAAGGCCUUCGGGUUGUAAAAAUCUUUUCUAUAGGAAGAAAAUGACAGUACCAUAGGAAUAAGGACCGGCUAAUUACGUGCCAGCAGCCGCGGUAAUACGUAAGGUCCGAGCGUUGUCCGGAAUCAUUGGGCGUAAAGGGUACGUAGGCGGGUAAGCAAGUUAGAAGUGAAAUCCUAUAGCUCAACUAUAGUAAGCUUUUAAAACUGCUCAUCUUGAGGUAUGGAAGGGAAAGUGGAAUUCCUAGUGUAGCGGUGAAAUGCGCAGAUAUUAGGAGGAAUACCGGUGGCGAAGGCGACUUUCUGGCCAUAACCUGACGCUGAGGUACGAAAGCGUGGGUAGCAAACAGG